rnacentral:rRNA from 1 species
GCCUACGGGUGGCUGCAGUGGGGAAUAUUGGACAAUGGGGGGAACCCUGAUCCAGCCAUGCCGCGUGUGUGAAGAAGGCCCUCGGGUUGUAAAGCACUUUCAGUGAGGAAGAACGCCUGGUGGUUAAUACCCAUCAGGAAAGACAUCACUCACAGAAGAAGCACCGGCUAACUCCGUGCCAGCAGCCGCGGUAAUACGGAGGGUGCGAGCGUUAAUCGGAAUUACUGGGCGUAAAGCGCGCGUAGGUGGCUUGAUAAGCCGGUUGUGAAAGCCCCGGGCUCAACCUGGGAACGGCAUCCGGAACUGUCAAGCUAGAGUGCAGGAGAGGAAGGUAGAAUUCCCGGUGUAGCGGUGAAAUGCGUAGAGAUCGGGAGGAAUACCAGUGGCGAAGGCGGCCUUCUGGACUGACACUGACACUGAGGUGCGAAAGCGUGGGUAGCAAACAGGAUUAGAUACCCUUGUAGUC